rnacentral:rRNA from 1 species
UAUGAACGCUGGCGGCGUGCCUAAUACAUGCAAGUCGAGCGAGCGGACGGGAAGCUUGCUUCUCUGAUGUUAUCGGCGGACGGGUGAGUAACACGUGGAUAACCUACCUAUAAGACUGGGAUAACUUCGGGAAACCGUAGCUAAGACCGAAUAAUUUUUUGAACUGCAUUGUGCAAAAGUGGAAUACGGUCUUUCUGUCACUUAUAGAUUGAUCCGAGCUGCAUUCGUUAGUUGGUAAGGUAACGGCUUAGCAAGGCAACGAUGCAUACCCGACCUGAAAGGGAGAUCGGACACACUGGAACUGAGACAGAGCCGCGACACUGACGCGAGGCAGCAGCCGAGACUCCUACGCAAGGGGGCAAAGCCUGACGGAGCACAGCCGCGUGAGUCAUGAAGGUCUUAGGAUCGUAAAAUGCUGUAAUCCGGGAAGAACAAAUGUGUAAGUACCUGUGAACAUCUUGACGGUACCUAAUCAGAAAGCCACGGCUAACUCCGUG